GAAUAAAGCAUUCGAAACUUUUAAAUUCGAGAUCACGAACUUGGAUCACUUUAAAAUUCAAAUUGUUUUGCAAAAUUCAAAUUGUUUUGCAAAAUUUAAAGCCUUUUGCAUUUGAACCGCUUGAAGUUUCUCUUGCCUAAGCAAAAUGGAUAAGCGUCACAUUUUAAAAACAAGCCUUUUAUAAGAAGUUCUUUUAUAAGCAUGAUUUCUCAUCAUUAUAAAAACUGCUACCAACACUUAAAUUCAAUGGACCGAUAAAUCGGCAAAUAAACGGAUAAAAGCAAAUGGAUAGGUAAAUUGGUGGGCCUGGGAGGACUUGAACCUCCGACCUCACGCUUAUCAAGCGCGCGCUCUAACCAACUGAGCUACAAGCCCUCCGAGAUAAACCGGAAAACCUUCCCCAGCAUUAUCUAAAAAAGCAUUAUCUAAAAAAGCUUUAUCUCAUAAAAGCAUCAUUUCAAAAAACAAAGAGCUUUCCUUAAAGCUUUUGAUGAGAGCUUACUUGCGUAGACCGCCAGAAGGCUUGGGAUCAU
rnacentral:misc_RNA from 1 species